ensembl:snoRNA
GUUCCUUUGUAGUUUAUAAGUGUGAUGAUGGGUGCUCACACUCAUGUGAGAUGUGUCUCCCUCUAAGCCUUGUAACAACAUCAGCACAUUACCCUUCUGAUG